rnacentral:tRNA from 1 species
AAGAUUUUAAGUUAAAUAAACUAUUAAUCUUCAAAAUUAAAAAUAUUAAUAUUUUUUAAUAAAUCUUA